rnacentral:rRNA from 1 species
AGUGAACGCUGGCGGUAGGCCUAACACAUGCAAGUCGAACGGCAGCACAGUAAGAGCUUGCUCUUACGGGUGGCGAGUGGCGGACGGGUGAGGAAUACAUCGGAAUCUACUUUUUCGUGGGGGAUAACGUAGGGAAACUUACGCUAAUACCGCAUACGACCUACGGGUGAAAGCAGGGGAUCUUCGGACCUUGCGCGAUUGAAUGAGCCGAUGUCGGAUUAGCUAGUUGGCGGGGUAUAGGCCCACCAAGGCGACGAUCCGUAGCUGGUCUGAGAGGAUGAUCAGCAACACUGGAACUGAGACACGGUCCAGACUCCUACGGGAGGCAGCAGUGGGGAAUAUUGGACAAUGGGCGCAAGCCUGAUCCAGCCAUACCGCGUGGGUGAAGAAGGCCUUCGGGUUGUAAAGCCCUUUUGUUGGGAAAGAAAAGCAGCAGGUUAAUACCCCGCUGUUCUGACGGUACCCAAAGAAUAAGCACCGGCUAACUUCGUG